GGAGCUCUUGGUUGUCAGCUUGCAACAAUGCCUUCAGGACUCCUCUAUGUUGGAAUAUGUACACAAGGCCUUCCAAAGUCUCCUGAAGCCAAUCAGCUAUGUAGAGUGUGCCCGAUAGACAAUGAUGGAGCUGGAAACUGAAGGACUUUGGAAGCAGGGAAAAAUCACGAGAUACCUGCAGUGGUCUUGAAAGGAGAAUUGGACACUAAAGUGAUCAACAUGCAAGCCUGAGAGCCUGAGACCAAUAUAAAGAUUGAGAAAAACACCAGGUAUUUAUCUCUUGCCUCCACAUGCACUUGUACACAGGACACAAGCACACAGAUGCAUAGACAGGCACACA
rnacentral:lncRNA from 1 species